ensembl:lncRNA
GGGUCCCUAUGGGGUCCCUAUAGCGUCUCCACGGGGUCCCUAUGGGGUGGGAGUCCAUUUCAGGUCCCUAUGGGGUUGGGGUCUCUAUGGGGUGGGUGUCUCUAUGGCCUGGGGGUCUCUAUGGGGUCCCUAUGGGAUGGAGGUCUCUAUGGGGUCUCUAUGGGGUCCCUAUGGGGUGGGGGUCCAUUUCAGCUCCCUAUGAGGUUGGGGUCCCGAUGGGGUUGGGGUCCCUAUGGGAUGGAGGUCUCUAUGGGGUCCCUAUGGGGUGGGGGUCCAUUUCAGCUCCCUAUGGGGUCCCUAUGGGGUGGGGGUCCAUUUCAGCUCCCUAUGGGGUCCCUAUGGGGUUGGGGUCCCUAUGGGGUCCCUAUGGGGUGGGGGUCCCUAUGGGGUCCCUAUGGGGUUCGGCUCCCUAUGGGGUCCCUAUGGGGUUGGGGUCCCUAUGGGGUCCCUAUGGGGUCCCUACGGGGUCCCUAUGGGGUUGGGGUCCCUAUGGGGUCCCUAUGGGGUUCGGGUCCCUAUGGAGUCCCUAUGGGGUUGGGGUCCCUAUGGGGUCCCUAUGGGGUGGGGGUCCAUUUCAGCUCCCUAUGGGGUCCCUAUGGGGUCCCUAUGGGGUUGGGGUCCCUAUGGGGUCCCU